UGGCAAACGGGUGAGUAUAAUGUGGGAAUCUGCCUUUUGGUUUGGAAUAACACGGGGAAACUUGUGCUAAUACCGAAUAAGCCCUUACGGGGAAAGUUUUAAUGCCGAAAGAUGAGCCCGCACUUGAUUAGCUAGUUGGUAAGGUAAAAGCUUACCAAGGCAACGAUCAAUAGCUGUUCUUAGAGGAAGACCAGCCACAUUGGGACUGAGACACGGCCCAGACUCCUACGGGAGGCAGCAGUGGGGAAUCUUGCACAAUGGGGGAAACCCUGAUGCAGCGAUGCCGCGUGAGUGAAGAAGGCCCUUGGGUUGUAAAACUCUUUCGUCGGGGAAGAAAAUGACUGUACCCGAAUAAGAAGGUCCGGCUAACUUCGUGCCAGCAGCCGCGGUAAUACGAAGGGACCUAGCGUAGUUCGGAAUUACUGGGCUUAAAGAGCUCGUAGGUGGUUAAAAAAGUUGAUGGUGAAAUCCCAAGGCUUAACCUUGGAACUGCCAUCAAAACUUUUUAGCUAGAGUGUGAUAGAGGUAAGUGGAAUUUCUAGUGUAGAGGUGAAAUUCGUAGAUAUUAGAAAGAACACCAAAAGCGAAGGCAACUUACUGGGUCACUACUGACACUGAGGAGCGAAAGCAUGGGUAGCGAAGAGGAUUAG
rnacentral:rRNA from 1 species